rnacentral:rRNA from 1 species
GUAGUCCACGCCCUAAACGAUGGCAACUAGGUGUUGGGGAAGCAAUUCCUUGGUACCGCAGCUAACGCGUGAAGUUGCCCGCCUGGGGAGUACGGUCGCAAGAUUAAAACUCAAAGGAAUUGACGGGGACCCGCACAAGCGGUGGAUGAUGUGGAUUAAUUCGAUGCAACGCGAAUAACCUUACCUACCCUUGACAUGGUCGGAACCCUGCAGAGAUGUGGGGGUGCCCGAAAGGGAGCCGAUACACAGGUGCUGCAUGGCUGUCGUCAGCUCGUGUCGUGAGAUGUUGGGUUAAGUCCCGCAACGAGCGCAACCCUUGUCCCUAGUUGCUACGCAAGGGCACUCUAGGGAGACUGCCGGUGACAAACCGGA